UACGAAGGGGGCUAGCGUUGUUCGGAAUUACUGGGCGUAAAGCGCACGUAGGCGGACUAUUAAGUCAGGGGUGAAAUCCCGGGGCUCAACCCCGGAACUGCCUUUGAUACUGGUAGUCUCGAGUCCGGAAGAGGUGAGUGGAAUUCCCAGUGUAGAGGUGAAAUUCGUAGAUAUUGGGAAGAACACCAGUGGGGAAGGCGGCUCACUGGCGCGUAACUGACGCUGAGGUGCGAAAGCGUGGGGAGCAAACAGG
rnacentral:rRNA from 1 species